rfam:Salmo salar isolate Sally breed double haploid chromosome ssa20, whole genome shotgun sequence.
UACAAAAAAGACUGUAAGUCGCUCUGGAUAAGAGUGUCUGCUAAAUGACUAAAA